rnacentral:tRNA from 1 species
CGGAGAGUAGCGCAGUCUGGUAGCGCAAUCGGUCUGGACCCGAUAGGUCGUAGGUUCAAAUCCUACCUUUCCGACCA